AGCUCACGUCUGUGUCACAACUUAGCGGCUGCAUCCUUCGGAGGCAUCAGUGAAGGGGGACGCUGUCCCAUUUCGGAAUGCGGCUCAUAAAUCCUCCCCUCUUUUCCCGGCUUCGAAACAUACAUUGGCUGUAUCCUUCGCGGCCGACCGCAUUCCAAGAUUCAUUACGCGCAGUUUGCUGUUGGAUACUUUCCCCCCGCAUGAGGCACAGAAGAAAGGAAGGAGCCGAGCAAUACACUUUUAAAUGAGUGUCCAGGGUCAGGAGAGACCGGUUUAGGCGACAGAGACGUUCCACGCCCUGAUGAUGCACCCGGCCAAAUUCAGCAAUGUGUGAGGAAGAGGAGAAAGAGGAGGCAGCCAGCUGAAAGAGCGAGACUGUUCUGUUGACUUGAUUUAAAACAACUGCUAAAUAUAUUGUUUAUUUAUAAAUUGUUUAUUGUCUGUACAGGGGUCUUUCCAACUAUUUCUAUGAUAAAACACGACAGGGAUAUAGGGAAUAACUAUAACCAAAGUAUAAAAUGACACAAGAAUGAUGUGAAAAGAAAGCAAAUGCUUUUAUUAUACAAAAUGGUACUUUUUUUUUAAUGUAAUAGUGGUGAGUCCUUGGUGGUGCUGCCAAUCAUGGAUAGGCUGCCACAAAAAAAAAACCCUCCCUCACUGGAACAUUACCGUCUUCUCUCCGUCCACCACAUUGGCCAUCAGCUGGGCUUACAGGGCUGAACAUACCCUCAUCUGCCAUAUUAGAAAGAUCUUUUCAAAAUGAGGCAGUUAGUGCAAAGAAAAAAAACUCUAAUUUUGCAGAAGAAAUCUUACUAUUAAACUGCUCACAUAAAAUGACCAAUCUCUGUCUUUCGAGUUAUAAUGUAGAAUAUUAAAUAUCAGUACCCCCGGUCACAGGGAGGCCGGUGACAUCUAAACAUACUAUACAGUGCUUUUAACGUACAUGUGUGUGUACUGCUGAAGAGAAUCUGAUUGAAAAUGUUGGUUUUAAGAUUUGUAUCGGAAUAAUUUGCUUGUUUCUCACCUCUUCUCCAGACUGCACUUGGCCUGUAUCUAGUUUAGACCCAGGAACUGCCCUUUUGGACUUUACUGGUCGAGAUCCUGGGGGAAUGGGGUAUGAAGGACUGGGAAGUUUUGUCUGAUGUUUGAAGAAUGUGUUGAUUUUAAUUAGUUUAACAGCAAGUAACAUUCUCUAAAUAUAUCUUUAUUUAUUGUCUCACUUUUAACUUAUUACCAUUGCCUUUGAAUGAAUGAUUGAGCACUGUCGUAAACCAAUUAGGUAUUGGUAUUGGCGGGAGUUGCAGCUCUGUGUGUCUGGCCAUGAUGGUGAGCGGUGUGCAGUUCAGUUAAAUUUUAGAUGACUGUCUUUAAUUUGUAGUUACUUUGUUAAUUUUCUUUUGUUUUCCAGAAAAAUUCUUUACUUUCAUUUUUCUCUUCAGUUUGGCUAACUGAUCUGCACUGUAAAUGUGGCAUAACAAUCCACUGCUUUGAAUAAAAAAGGAAUAGAGACCGAA